rnacentral:rRNA from 1 species
GAUGAACGCUGGCGGCGUGCCUAAUACAUGCAAGUUGAGCGCAGAGAUUAGGUACUUGUUCCUACUGCGUGAGCGGCGGACGGGUGAGUAACGCGUGGGUAAUCUGCCUUUAAGCGGGGGACAACAUCGGGAAACGGGUGCUAAUACCGCAUAAUAUCUUUAAACACAAGGUUCAAGAGUGAAAGAUGCAAUUGCAUCACUUAAUGGUGGUCCCGCGUUGUAUUAGCUAAGUUGGGAGGUAAAGGCCCACCAAAGCGAUGAUAGAGAGGCGACCUGGGAGGGUGGUUCGCCAACUCGGGACCGAGACACGGGUCAAACUUCCUACGGGAGCAGCCGUAGGGGAACUUUCGCCAUGGGCCGAAGUCUUAACGGGCAACGCCGCGUGAGUGAAGGAGGUUCUUCGAUCGUAAAAACCUUGUUGUAGGGGAGAACGAAGGGUGUAGUGGAAUAUGCACCUAUUGACGGUACCUACUCAGAAAGCCACGGCUAACUACGUG